UUUCCGUAGGUGAACCUGCGGAAGGAUCAUUCAUAAUAAAGUGUUUUAUGGCACUUUUUAAAAGUCCAUAUCCACCUUGUGUGCAAUGUUAGAUCUCGUCAAUCUUGGCGAGAUUUUUAUACAUCAACUCAUUCUUUAACUAAUUUGUCUGAAAAAUAUUAUGGAUACUUAAUUCAAAAUACAACUUUCAACAACGGAUCUCUUGGCUCUC
rnacentral:misc_RNA from 1 species